CUUACUCAGUAGGACUGGAAGACUUCUUAUUUCUUAGUGCCUUCGCAAUACCGGGUCAAUUCUUGUAUAAUAUUAUUUAUAUUAAUAUUUUUCUUUUGUAGCUUGACGUGGAGCCUUAUUUGUGUCUACCAAUAUCAAAGUUUGGUUCUGUCCUGUGAUGUGAUGAUUUUGUUUAUAUGUAAUUGUUUGACUGUGUUUACGUUUGUCUAAAGAUAUAUGUCAGUCGUGACAUUCCAGUAAAAAAAAAAACUAAUUCAGAUGAAAUGAAAUGAAUUAACUUUUUUGGCAAGGUCCAAUUCGUAUUUGUCGCUAAGAAAGAUUCAGUGAAGUCCUUUGUAUAUUCAAUUCAAUUCGUACCAAUGACUUUUCAUCGGUUGUGAAUUCAAACAAACUGACCAACUCGUCUAUUGAAUUUGUGCUGACGAAUUGAAAAAGAUUAAAGCUCAAUAGUUUGUUCAUUGAAUUGAUACGAAUAGAGAGUUUGGAAGUUGAACACAGCUUUGUCGAAUUCAGAAGAAUUUGCCACGUAGCUCCAAUUCGAAUUUGUCGCUAAACGAGAUUCACUGACGCCCAGAGUGUAUUCGUUUCAAUUCUACUGAAUUAAUAUUUUCAUUUGCUGGGAUCACACUCGGUUGGUAAAGUCACUGAAAGUAGAGCCUCAGUGGGAACAGGAAUAUCUAAAAGAAGUCUUUUUUGACCGCGGAUAUCGGAACGUUGAAGAAUGUCUAUGGCCUAAAAAACGUUCAAAAAGACGUCUUUCAGACAUCUUUGGACACUGGAGUAGGACUAGUCGCAGUAAAGGAGAAAAUAAUUGCAUAAGGGCUGGCAAAAAUAAUUGUUUCAAUUGCUUAAAAACUGGACAUCAUUUUCGAAAGUGCAUGUAUAACCAAAUGUCUUGUAUUGGUUAUAUAUUUUUUAUUCUCUGAAUUUAUAAAUAAUAAAUGAUUCUCAAAAAUUAAAAGUUAUAUUAACAAUUAUAAUAAUUUUUAAAAAAUGUCUCCUUUUUUCAUGCAAAUAACAUACAAGUCUGGAUCAAUACGGUAAAAUAAAUGCGACUAGGUGUUUACGAAGGAAGUUUUUGCGCUGAACAUGAAUCUGAUGUCCGAAAUGCUCCAUCACAUUUGAAUUCCAAUUGAUGAAGGAGAGAUAUCUAUUUAUGGACGGAGAUGCAGACCUCUAGAAAAAAAUAAUAAUUAAUUAACAGCAACAAUUGUUGCUGUUACCUAAUUUGUUGUGAAGCGUUAAUGUCAAAUCACGUUAAGCCGGAAGUCAUUGGAGACCUUCCAUGAAAGAAGCUUCUUCAUCCAUGUUGAGACUAUUGAAGAACUACCAGAAGUGUUGCAACAAAAGCGCAGAGAUCCUAGUUAAAUAUGUUUUACCAGACGUUCAUUUGAACGUUCAAAACUUGUAGAUCAUAUCAAGAAACUGUGAUUUAUCCAAGUAUUAAUAUUAAUACAAAAGGGUAUACCCCGUUUAAUUUUUUUUUUAUUUUUUAUUUAGAUUUUCUGCGUACACAUUUUUAAGUAUUUUACGCUCUGUAUCCCCUAUCUUUAACCUCAGUUCUGAAAACCCCAAACCGCGGUCCGUAGUCAACUUUUAUUAGAAGUAUUCGCAUUUCCCUGACCCUUUCUGGAUCAGAGUAACGGCAAACCUCUACUGAAUACAGCCGGUUUAUUGACUGUCAAGUUAUAAAUGUACAUUUAAGGAAGUUCUCUCGCAAACAGAAAUGACGAAGAGUUAAUUAUCAAACUUGA